AACUCCCAAGCCUCCCCUGAUCUCCUGCCCCCUUCUGUCAAAACAAAGGGGGAAGGGGGCAGGAGAUCGGGGAAGGCUCGGGAGUC
rnacentral:miRNA from 1 species